UAAACGACUGCUUCUUGAUAAUUAAUCAAAAGAUUUAAAGAAAGAUUUAUUUCUGAUAAUAUUCAUCUGCUUGAUGGAAUAUGGUGGAACAGUUUGUUUCUGUGUUGUAACAGGUGGUUGUAAGGAGAGCAGAGAAUUAGAACGCCCAAGAAGUAAAAACAGAGCAAGAGAAAGUUUCUUGUGUAAAAAGUCCCGCUACCCGGCUCAGUGUACUAGCUUGCAGCAAGUCGAUCGUGAAUUCGUGAUUUCUUCAUCCGACCUUCAGAAGUGCAAGUGCCAAUAUGGUAGCGCACGCAUGGAGCACGUUGCAAUUGGCGGGAGUUGGCAUUAAUUCUUAAUUUUCUAUCACACACAAGUUUGCCUGAAUUGCAAAAUAUGAAGCCCAUGUUCUGCGAACUCCAUGAUAAUCCAUAUCCAUAUGAAAACAAAGACAGACUGCCUACGGAUGUCCUGUAACUCCCCGUCAACUGCCAAUGGCCGUUCAAUGUUCCAUGUUUGGAUCUUUAAUUUACUGAAGAAAACUCCUCAAUGAACAUUCACCUUCGGAUAAGACAAGGUUGCAGUUUCGUCGCUUAAACUUCAAGUAGUUAUAAACUUCAGCUUGACUCCACAUUAUUACGGAUCUUUCACUUCUGAACUGCAAGGUGCUGAUUACUUAGAAUGUUGCUGAAUAACAAACACCUGCGGCAUCUUAAAAAUACUUCAGAAAAUGGCUCGCCAACUCUACAUUGCUCAAAACUGCAGUUAUUCUUGCGACACGAACGGCAAUAGAGGCAAUCCCCACGCUCGAAAUUACUCCGCUUAUCUGCUGGAAUUCUUCGCUGUUUAUUGGAAGUUUUUACUUCUACCAGACUUGUUGUGUUACAUGCUGGAAUAAAUCUCGCUUCCAACAGAUCAACUGUCUAUUUUUGUCAUUCACUUGACUUGAAGGUUGUCGAGUACCGCAACUGGCGAAUAAGCCAUGCCCUGUUUAUUUUUCCCAGCGUGGCAAUGUUGUGUUCCAAAAUACCGGUCUUUCCACAUUGCGUUGACAGAAAAAACAAUAUAUUUAUU